CCCCUACGGGGCGCAGCAGUGGGGAAUAUUGCACAAUGGGGGAAACCCUGAUGCAGCGACGCCGCGUGAAGGAUGAAGUAUUUCGGUAUGUAAACUUCUAUCAGCAGGGAAGAAAAUGACGGUACCUGACUAAGAAGCCCCGGCUAACUACGUGCCAGCAGCCGCGGUAAUACGGAGGAUGCGAGCAUUAUCCGGAUUUAUUGGGUUUAAAGGGUGCGCAGGCGGCACGGCAAGCCGGCGGUCAAAUCGCGGGGCUCAACCCCGCCCAGCCGUCGGAACUGCCGGGCUAGAGUGGGCGAGAAGGG
rnacentral:rRNA from 1 species